UACGUAGGGUGCGAGCGUUAAUCGGAAUUACUGGGCGUAAAGCGUGCGCAGGCGGUUUUUUAAGACAGGUGUGAAAUCCCCGGGCUCAACCUGGGAACUGCGUUUGUGACUGGAAGGCUAGAGUAUGGCAGAGGGGGGUGGAAUUCCACGUGUAGCAGUGAAAUGCGUAGAGAUGUGGAGGAACACCGAUGGCGAAGGCAGCCCCCUGGGCCAAUACUGACGCUCAUGCACGAAAGCGUGGGGAGCAAACAGG
rnacentral:rRNA from 1 species